UGUGGCAUAAUCAAUUGAUAUGAGAUCGUAAAAUUGGUACAAAGUAUCUGUUGGAAUCUUCAUCAACCCACCUUCUAAAAUCGCCCUAUUUGAUGGCAAUUUUUAUUAAGAUUACUAUCUUGAUCACAUAUGCUUCUCUUUCUUUUUGGUCCCCCCUACUAUAUGCUCUACUUGUGUGAUUGUUUUCUUUUUAUUUUUAUUUUAAGCAAAAAAUUGUUGAGAGAGCUCGCCACAAAGUUUUCUUGUACAAGUUGCCUGAAGUAGUUCUGUUUACUGGGAUGGUUUCUGCAGGUUGCCUUCAGGACAAAGGUUUUCCACCCUAACAUCAACAGCAAUGGCAGCAUUUGCCUUGACAUUUUGAAGGAACAGUGGAGCCCUGGCCUUACUAUUUCCAAAGUGUUGCAAUUGAUUUGCUCUUUGUUAACAGACCCAAAUCCUGAUGAUCCUUUGGUGCCAAAGAUUGCUCACAUGUACAAGACAGACAGGAGCAAGUAUGAGAUGACUGCCAGGAGCUGGACCCAGAAGUAUGCCAUGGGCUAGCUAAGGAUGCAAAAUGCAAAAAGC